rnacentral:rRNA from 1 species
UGGGGAAUUUUGGACAAUGGGCGAAAGCCUGAUCCAGCCAUGCCGCGUGCAGGAUGAAGGCCUUCGGGUUGUAAACUGCUUUUGUACGGAACGAAAAGACUCUGGUUAAUACCUGGGGUCCAUGACGGUACCGUAAGAAUAAGCACCGGCUAACUACGUGCCAGCAGCCGCGGUAAUACGUAGGGGGCAAGCGUUAAUCGGAAUUACUGGGCGUAAAGCGUGCGCAGGCGGUUAUAUAAGACAGAUGGGAAAUCCCCGGGCUCAACCUGGGAACUGCAUUUGUGACGGUAUAGCUAGAGUACGGCAGAGGGGGAUGGAAUUCCGCGUGUAGCAGUGAAAUGCGUAGAUAUGCGGAGGAACACCGAUUGCGAAGGCAAUCCCCUGGGCCUGUACUGACGCUCAUGCACGAAAGCGUGGGGAGCAAACA